rnacentral:rRNA from 1 species
AUUGAACGCUGGCGGCAGGCCUAACACAUGCAAGUCGAACGAGUGGCGGACGGGUGAGUAAUGUCUGGGAAACUGCCUGAUGGAGGGGGAUAACCACUGGAAACGGUAUCUAAUACCGCAUACCAGCGGUUGUGCCCAGAUGGGAUUAGCUAGUAGGUGGGGUAAAGGCUCACCAAGGCGACGAUACCUAGCUGGUCUGAGAGGAUGACCAGCCACACUGUGACUGAGACACGGUCCAGACUCCUACGGGAGGCAGCAGUGGGGAAUAUUUCACAAUGGGCGAAAGCCUGAUGCAGCAAUGCCGCGUGUGUGAAGAAGGUCUUCGGGUUGUAAAGUACUUUCAGCAGAGAGGCGGUACCCACAGAAGAAGCACCGGCUAACUACGUGCCAGCAGCCGCGGUAAUUC